GUUUUAUUAAGUUAUGACGCAGAUUUAGUUUGACAGAAUUGAAAGACUUUGUUUUAAUCUUACUGUGUUCAAAUUUACACUUAAGCAUUGAUAUUUGUUCGAAAAUAACGGGUUAAUUCACGUUUAAUCAGGUUUCUACGGAGUUAUAUUUUAAAAAUUUCAAUAUUUCUGAGUACAGUGGUGAAGUUUUGGCCGAGUUUCUGUGUAUAUUGACGUGAAACAUAAAACCUAUUCAAUGCGGUUUACUCUACAGCGUAAAAUGUGGAAGAUCGUAGUUGUCGAAAUUGUAUAUAGCCUACACUUAAAUGUGCGAAAACAGAAAAAUUGGCAGCAGUUUCCUCAACAAAAGAAUGAGAUUUAUAAUUGUUUAAUAAUUAAUUGAAGUAUUUGAAGGAUAAAUUCACCAACGAAGACAUUUUAAUCUAAAUAUCUCAUCCGUGCAGCAGAAUCGAGUAUUACCGAAAAGUCUAAACUGCGAGAAUAAAUUUACAAUAUGAAGCGGAGAAAAGAAAUUUACAGUUUUCUUCCUUCGAUCGAGCUACAGUCACCGGGAUUUCGAGAAAACAACGAUCAAAUCGAUCUCGAGAAGAACGAGACGGGCUUCGACGAAUUUCUCUUAAAUACCUUCGUCAUAUUAUUUUAAUGAACAAAAAUAAUCGAUUCAGAUUUUUUUAAAAAUGUUAUCGGAAGAGGGGAAAAUGCUCACACCAGGAAAACGCUACGAAUCCGAAUCUUUCCCCCCCCCCUUUCUUCCAUAUCUCGACUUUCAUCAUUGGAUGUGGUGAAUAGAUACGAAGAUUAGUUAGCAAAUUAAUUGAUUGUUCGGCCCUUCCACCACCAACGCCAUUCCAAUCGGUUCAUAAAAAUUUUCCACGCGAGGAACAUCUUAAUCAGGUCUGACACCCAAUAGGGUCGACUGGGAGGUUUCGCUCGCGUAGCGUGGUCAUUUCGUUCCUAUCGUUACACCAGAGUCGAUAGAUAUACUGGUUCCUUGAGCUGCCAAUAGCUCUAAUGCUACGGAAGUGGCGUAAUCAAUAUUUCUGCCACUUCGAGCGCCGCGAUCGCUUCGCGGCGUAAGUUUGGCUCGAGCGUAGGGAGAGUCAGCUGUAAACAUUCGAAAUUCUUUUAACAUAUGAAAUUUUCUCGUUUUUAACUCAGAUAUUGUUUUCGUCUUUUCUAAAGGACCGCUUAUAAAUACUGUUUUAAUUCGGGUUUGAACAUUAUUUAUUCGUAAAUGUCGUUAAUACUUCUAUUUCUAUUACAGGGGAUUAAAAGUCAGUAGAUUUAGUUCUCGGAUUUCAAAUAUAGGCCGUUAAAGGAAAAAGGAAAUUCCAACUAUUUAGGCAACAUAUUCAACAUAAUAACUUAGAGGUAAUUAGAGGAUGAUGAGUUGGAGGUUGACAAAUAAAAUAGGUAAAUGUGGGAUGGCAAGAGUUCAGAUGGUAUUAUUAGAUAAUGACAGUGGUAGUGAUGAGGCUAAAAGACAUGUUAGUGAUAUUUUAAACCUAUAUAAACAAAGGACAGGUGUAGUAAUCUUCAUUCAUAUUCUACUUUUGAUAUGAUAUAAAUUACCAAAAUAUGUAGAGUCAAUGAGAGUGUCAUAAGGAAUGUAAGUUCUCGUGUCAAAAAUACAAAACGAUUUCAUCCCAAAUACUAUUUCUCACUAUACCAAAUCAAGUGAAAUUGUAUAUCACACUUUAUGUAGUGUUAAAGUUAAUAAAUUAUUUAAAAAAUAGUUCGUCUUUAUCCGAAUUAAAUUUCUAUUGCUAUUUAAAUGUAUCGGAGGAUAAGCUAUGGUUUUCCUAAUUGUAUUGUUAUACAUAUGUAAUAAAACAAAACAGUAACACGCAAAUUUAUUUACUUAUUAUAUUAUUACCUACGUUAUACUCAGAACGUUCACAGUAUGUAGCAAUAAAAUAGUUUUGGACAGAUCUCUAUUUAAAAUCUGGAUGAAUUAUUAUUCACAUCCUCAUCUGUAAUUUCAAAUUAUCAUCUUAUUUUUUAUAACCAAAUAGAUAAAAAAAUAAAAAAUAAAAUAAAACUUCUCGCCGUAGUGCGACUCGAACGCCAGCUAUCGGCAAUCCGACACAUUAAUAGCUCGAGGACCAGUAUAUUUAUCGACUCCGGUUAUACUAGCAUCCGAGUGCCAACUUCCGGUUCUGCCGACAAAACGAAAAAUUUACACGAAUUAAGACUAGUUCGUACUUCGCCAGAAGGGAAAAGAGAAGCGCGUUCUGUUCGGUUUCCUGUUGUUCUUUUCCGGUAAGUGUUGGCAAUUAGAAGCGACUAAAGAGACGUGCGCACGCAUUUCGAUCUGGCGAUACGACGUAAAAGAAACGCGCAUGCGUUCUCAGUACCUGCAGUUUAAAACAUGGCGCCUCUCGUCUACUAUCGAAAGCGUGCUUUGAAGGAGUAUCCGAGUGCGAAAUUCUUAAAAAAAUGAAACGCAUUUUCGAAAUUUUAGAUACUUUUAGGAAGGCCUGACAUCUGGAUUUUGGACACUACAUCCUUGUUUGGCAAUACUUUGACUCAAAGUUUAGUUUGUUCACCUUGGUGCCCAAGUAAUAAAAUAACAUAAUAGGAAUGUUUGUUAUAUGUCGUUUAUAAUAGCAAUAAGAAAGCCUUUUUUCAUGUCUUCGUGGAUUUGACAAGACUCAAUGGUGCAGCUAGAUAGAGAAGAACGAGUCCUAACAUAUCUGGGUGAAACCAUGUAUGAAGAAUUUCUGAAGCUUCAGUCUAAACUGGAACCGAACACUCGGAGCUGCAAAUUAAUGCAGACUUAAAAGGAAUGAACAUUUUCUAUUUACAUUGACAUAGCUACGUGCCUACUAAAUUAGUGUCUGCUUCUAACCGACACCGGGCAUCUUUGGAUACUUAAACCCUACAUGAUCACAAUAUUUUCUUUUCUGGUAUCAAGGCUACAAAUUAGCAGAUUGCACAUUUGUUGCUUCCUAAAUGACAAUGAUGGAAUGAAAAUGGUUCCAUAUUUGUGCAAAGACUAAUAUGCAAAUUGUGCAUUCUGAUACAUAGGGGGAUACCUUUGGGUGCAGCACCCCUCAGGCCCCAUUAUCUCCUAGGAAAAGAAAA
rnacentral:lncRNA from 1 species